rnacentral:misc_RNA from 1 species
AUCGCGGCAAAAGAGGAUGCAAAUGCACGCGCUCAAACUCAAGUUCAUGCUCUCUCCAGCUCUGAUAAGUUUCUCCUCUCUCCCCCGUUUUUUCUUCAAAACUAAACCCUUUUCUUCUUCUGCGGAGUUUUCACCAUGGUCCGGUCUACAAGCCUGGCGGGAAAGCCCGCUCAACGAGAACCGGAUUUGGGGACCCAAUGGCCCGGAACCUUCGUCACUAUUACCUCCCUCUUCAAUUUGCUUUAAUGAUUAUGGAUUGGAUUCUGCUUCCUCUCUUGCCGAGCUUGGUGCUUUGGUUCUUUCCACUAGCGAUCCCCUCACAAAAUCCAAUCUUUCUCAUCUCGCUUUCUCCAGGUGGCGCAACGAGAAGCUUCCCAUUGGGGCCUAUGUUCCGCCUGCUAAACCUGCUCGCCCUCGUAAACCCGAAUUGGUUUAGCAGGCGGAACAUAGGCCCCAAU